AUCGAGCUGACGAGUCCCAAAUAGAACGAAACGCUCGUGCUGGAU
rfam:Schistosoma mansoni strain Puerto Rico chromosome W, complete genome